rnacentral:rRNA from 1 species
UGGUGGAUUGAUUUGUCUGGUUAAUUCCGUUAACGAACGAGACCCCCGCCUGCUAAAUAGGUACAUGAAUGAUUUUUCAUUCAUGAGAUCUUCUUAGAGGGACUUUUGUUUGACUAAACAAAGGAAGUUGGGGGCGAAUAACA